GACGAACGCUGGCGGCGUGCUUAACACAUGCAAGUCGAACGGAAAGGCCCUGCUUUUGUGGGGUGCUCGAGUGGCGAACGGGUGAGUAACACGUGAGUAACCUGCCCUUGACUUUGGGAUAACUUCAGGAAACUGGGGCUCAUACCGGAUAGGAGCUCCUGCUGCAUGGUGGGGGUUGGAAAGUUUCGGCGGUUGGGGCUGGACUCGCGGCUUAUCAGCUUGUUGGUGGGGUAGUGGCUUACCAAGUCUUUGACGGGUAGCCGGCCUGAGAGGGUGACCGGCCACAUGGGGACUGAGAGACGGCCCAGACUCCUACGGGAGGCAGCAGUGGGGAAUAUUGCACAAUGGGCGGAAGCCUGAUGCAGCAACGCCGCGUGCGGGAUGACGGCCUUCGGGUUGUAAACCGCUUUCGCCUGUGACGAAGCGUGAGUGACGGUAAUGGGUAAAGAAGCACCGGCUAACUACGUG
rnacentral:rRNA from 1 species